UUUUUCUUGUAUGUCUUUAGGUUUAAACUGUCUGGAUAAGCCAUAGGGAAAGGGGGGACGGAGGAGGAGCUCGGCUUAAUACUGCACAAGGGACACAGGUAUGAAUAUAAUCCCUCAGGACAUCAUUGAUGACAUCCUUAAAGACAGUUAGAGACAGUUAGGUCUGUGAUUGAGUAUGUCUGUGAUUAUGUGUUUAUAUGUGAUUGUGUGCAUAGGUCUGUGAUUAUGUGUGUAUAGGUCUGUGACUGUGUGUGCGUGCGUGUGUGUGUAAAUCUGUGAUGGUAUGUAUAGGUCUGUGAUUGUGUGUGUGUAUUUGUGAUUGUGUUUAUGGGUCUGUGAUUUUGUGUGUGUGUAUGUAUGUGAUUGUGUGUAUAGGUCUGUGAUUGUAUGUGUGUGGGUCUGUGAUUGUGUGUGUAUAUGUGAUUGUGUGUGGGUAUGUGUAUACAUCUGUGAUUAUGUGUGUAUGUAUGUGACUGUGUAUAUAUCUAUGAUUGUGUGUGUAUGUUUGUGAUUGUGAUUGUAUGUGAAUGUGUGGUUCUGUGCUUGUGUGGGUAUAUCUCAUUGUGUGUGUGCAUUUGUGCAUGUAUGUAUGUUACUGUCUGUAUAGGUCUGUGAUUGUAUGAGUCUGUGUAUGUAUGUGAUUUUGUGUAUAGGUAUUUGAUUGUGUGUGUAUUUUUGCACAUCUAUUAUUAUAUGUGUAUGUAUGUGACUGUGUAUAUAGGUCUGUGAUUGUAUGUGGAGCAACACAAAUGGAAAAAAAUACACCAAAUAUAACAGAAACCCCAAAAGUGAAAAAGAAACACUCAGUGUUUCAGAGUAGGAUACUUAAAUAGACAAAUUAACUGUGAUUGUGUGUGCAUGUGGGGGUCUGUGAUUGUGUGUCUGUAUCUAUGUGAUUGUGUGCAUGUGUGUGUUGUGGUGAAAGUGACCUUGCCACUGGUUUUUGGAGAGGUCUGCUUGCCAGCAUGUUACCCUGGGACUAUGGGCCCUGUGAUAACCUAUGUUCAAAAGUACUGUUUCGGCCUCUUGGACUUUUAACUGGAACAGAUUCAAACAUGGUGGCCAUCUUAAAUAGUCCAGCAGUGUUUUGUCAUCAAGUGUAUGGAACUGUUUUGGGCAUGGGACCAUGUGCACAGUGGGGCAAAAAUAAGACUUCCAUGAAAUUCCUGAACCCCUGAACCGAUCUGGGUGAUUUUUGCAUAUGUUGUUCACCCAGAUCGGGGCUCUCAUGGGAUGUGUAUUUGGGGUACUUUUUGGGGUUUGUAAAAAUGCAUGUUUUUUUCUGCUUAGAGUUAAUUGAGUUAGUCCAUUGUCUUUGUUAAUUGUAUCACAGGCAGAGGGGAGGGUUUGUGUACAUUAACUGGGAGUGUUCAAGUGUAAAACUCUAUGUAACGGACCGUUUUGCACAAAAGGGGUAAAAACCGCUUAGACGAUAAUCCCCUUUCAGAGACAGGCACAGCUACUGUAGAAUCACCAAAACUCACGAAUUGAAUACAAGUGAAUGCACCAAACACCCGAACUGCAUACAAGGGAAUGCUCCAAACACCCGAACUGCAUACAAGGGAAUGCUCCAAACACUCGAACUGGAACCUCACGAAUAGCUGCUAGCAGACGAACAGGAAAAGCACCCAAGCGGCUUACACUCCUGGCAAUCAGUCUCUAUCAGCAUACAGUAAAUCCCCCCAAAGACGAGACAAGGCUCCGUGUUGAGGGUCAAGCAGUGGUCUGUUUAAUGAGGGCUACCUGCCCAGUAUUUAUGCAGGUCUCCCACCUGGUGGACACUCCCCUAGGGGACCAGAUGGAAGACUGUAACAAAAGACAGACAUGUACCAAUUACAGACAUACAGAAGUAAAACAUCCCCACAAUGCAUCCUGGCUUCCUCCCCUCUGCCCUGGAGAAGUAAUUCAAUUAUCUCCCAGGACAAAGGCAAAACUCCAUUACACACGUGGGGACACAAAGACAGACUAUCACUUUAAAAUACAUAAUGGGACAAAUGGUACAGUAAAUAUAUACAUGUAACAUAUCCCCAGAUAGCUCAGGUCUGAGUGCACAUUAUUAGGUGAAUGGCACUCAGACCACACGAAUACAGUUUAAAGAGCCAAAGUCUUUAAUUCCACGAACAGGCUCCAUGGCAUGGCUAUCUGGGUUAAAACAUUCCUCCAACAUAAAAUACCGAAUUUACAUGCAUUCGUUAAAUCCGUACGAAUUAGAACCAGGGGUUGGAGGUUCAGCGGUGCCUGCACGUAAAAGUGUCCGGGUUUGGUGCAGGAAAGCCGGGCAGAAAAGCGCUGGCUGCCCGGGGAGCUCCAGAACACCGCCAUCGUGUGGCGGCUAAGUGUAACCGCGACCACCCAGUAACAAUCAAUUAAGCUGCGAUUAACCGCAGCUACUGGGUGGUCAAUUGCCGGCACACGCUCGUUAAGCCGCGGUUAACCGCGGCUUCAGGGAGGUAAAUGGAGGGCGCACUCCAGCUUCUGGGUGGCCAAUUAACGGCGCCGGCCGGCUUCCCACGGCUAUGGGGAGGCUGAAAAUAAACUGUUUGUUCGGUAGAUGGAAUCUACCGAACGGCUGUGCAGAAAGGGAGAAAUAAAUCCUUCUGCACAGUAAAAUUAACCCUUUAGCUGCCGGUCCAUAAUCCAAAGGCAGCAGGUGGGCAACCAGGCUCCUCCAAUGCAAUGUGGCGAGAUUUCAUGUCCUGUGCCCCACAAUGUCCCCCUUGGUGGUAACCUUGUGAGGAAAAACUGUAUAAAAGAGCAGCUGUGCCAUUAAACCUUCAGUUCUACUUCACUCUCAGUCUAGAGUCCUGCGCUGGUGGCUACUCCACAUGUCGGCCUGGAAUGGCAAGGCAAUUUUUGGACAGACUCUGGAUUUCAUGCUAGAGUCGUGCGCGACCAGCUCCACGGGGAGACCGUGGUUGAAGAUGGAAUCAGAGUUCCACAUGGAACUGAUUGCGGGAUCAUUUGCGAGUCGGAGCCUGGCGAGUCACCUUUCUGAUUGCUGCGUCCUCCUCAGGAUGGGCAAUAUCUCUGCGGUACAAUACAUCAACCGCCUGGGAGGAGCCUGCUCCAGGAUACUUUCGGAGGUGACGAAGGAGAUUUACAGUUUCUGCUUCCAGUGCAACAUCACCCUCCAGGCAGAAUAUCUUCCGGGGUAGUCGAACCUGAUGGUAGAUUGGUUCUCCAGACAUUGGAGAGAUGCCAGCGUUUGGAGGCUUUUUUGUCCCGUUUUCCUCGAGAUCGCAGACCGGAGGGGUCCAUUCUCUGUGAACCUUUUCGACACUGGGACAAACUAUCAGGUCCCAAGCUACUUCAGCUGGCUUCCGGAUCUGGCUUGCACAGCGGUGGACGCUUUCCUUCAGCUGUGGCUGUACCAGGGAGCUUAUGCAUUUUCUCUGUUUGCUAUGAUACUACAAGGUCGACGUCAACGUGUGUCUUUGGUAUUGCUGACUCCUCUGUGGCAGAGUCAAGCCUGGUUUCUGGAAUUUCUGGAUCUAUCCCAUCAGGAUCCACUGCUUCUACCAUCCCCACUGAUGCUACUCUCGGACUCCGAAGGCAAUCCUCACCCGCUCAUGAGGGACUGUAUAAAGUAAUCCAGGCACUCCAAAGUAUCCCAAAAGGCAACUUUUAUUGUACCCACAAACAAAAAAACAACUUUUCGACUCUGUCUUUGUCAAGCUACUAAACACAUACACAGCAAGCAAUAUAUAGGUGUACAAAUAAUUAACAAGUAACAAAACAUGUGAUGUAACAAGAUUAAUUAACCACACAAUCAAUCAAUACUCAUUAACCAUUAUACCAAUUAUUAUCCACAACACAUCAGUGGUGUCAACUAUCAUAGGGCAUCUAGCCGAUUAGUAAUUAUUAUUAAUAUGAUAUUUAUAGAGCACCGUCAAAUUCCACAGCGCUUUACAAUGGGUGGACGAACAGACAUGUAGUUGUAACCAGACAAGUUGGACACACAGGAACAGAGGGGUUGAGGGCCCUGCUCAAUGAGCUUACAUGCUAGAGGGAGUGGGGUGACACAAAAUGACACAAAAAGGUAAGGAUAGUAUUAGACUAAUGACAGUUGCAGAAGAGGAAUCAGCCAGGAGCUAUUAACAGUUUAAUUGAUACGCUUUUAUGAAGAAGUGGGUUUUUAACAAUUUUUUGAAGGAGUGGAGACAGGGUGAGCAUCUAACGGAGGAGGGAAGCGAGUUCCACAGGAACGGUGCAGCCCUCGAGAAAUCUUGAAGGCGAGCAUCAGAGGUGGGAGUACGGACAGAAGAUAGACGUAAGUCUUCAGCAGAUCAUAAGGGCCUAGAUGGGACAUACUUGUGUAUAAGGGAGGAUAGAUAGGUGGGAGCAGCAUUAUGUAGAGAUUUGAAAGUAAGAACCAGAAUUUUAAAUUGAGCUCUAUAUUUUAUAGGAAGCCAAUGUAGGGAUUGACAGAAGGGUGAGGCAUGGGAGGUGCGGGCGGACAGGAAGAUGAGCCUCGCCGCCGCAUUCAUUAUGGACUGUAACGGUGCUAGUUGGGAGCACGUAAGACCACUGAGAAGUGGAUUACAGUUGUCAAGGCGAGAAAGGACAGUGGAAUGGACCAACACCUUAGUCGCAUCUGGCGUUAAGUAGGGGCGGAUGCGCGCAAUGUUUUUGAGAUUGAAAUUACAGGAUUUGGCAAUAGAUUGAAUAUGAGACUUGAAGGAGAGGUCGGAGUCAAAGAGAACACUUAGGCAGCAAGCCUGCGUGGUGGAGCUCAUGGUAGCACCGUUGACUUGGAGGGAGACAGACACAGGAGUAACAACACUUGAGGGAGGAAAGACCAGAAUUUCAGUUUUGGUCAAGUUUAGUUUAAGGAAGUGGGCAGCCAUCCAGUUAGAAACAGCAGAGAGACAGUCAGAGACUCUAGUCAAGAGGGAGGGGAGAGAUCAGGAGUGGACAGAUAGAUGUACGUGUCAUCCACAUAGAAUUGAUAUUGGAAGCCAAAGGAGCUAAUGAGUUUACCAAGGGAAGCAGUAUAGAUGGAGAACAGUAGGGGACCAAGGACUGAACCUUGGGGGACACCAACAGAGAGGAGUUGGGGAGAAGAAGCAGAGCCAGAGAAAGACACACUGAAAGAGCGCUGGGAGAGGUAGGAGGAGCACCAGGAGAGAGCAGUAUCUUGUAGACCGAUAUUGAGGAGGAUGAGAAGAAGUUGUUGAUGAUCAACAGUGUCAAAAGCCGCAGACAGGUCAAAGAGAAUUAGGAUAGAGUAGUGACCACGAGAUUUUGCACUGAGUAGAUCAUUGGAUACUUUGGUCAGUGCCGUUUCCACAGAGUGCUUAGUGCGGAAACCAGACUGAAGCGGGUCUAGCAGAGAGUUGGACUCGAGGAAGUCUGUCAAUCUCGCAUACACAAUUUUUUCAAGGAUCUUGGAUGCAAAAGGCAGUAGCGAGAUAGGACGAUAGUUGGAUGGGGAGUUAGGGUCAAGAUUGGGCUUCUUUAGAAUUGGGGUUACAGUUGCAUGUUUGAAGGGCAAUGGAAAUAUACCAGAGGAGAGAGAGAGAUUGAGAAUUUUAGUGAGAGGUGGAGAAAGAGAAGAAUACAGAGUAGGGAUGAGAUGCGAGGGAAAUGGAUCUAGGGAGCAGGUGGUGGGGCGAAAGGACUGGAGCAGAUUCAAUUCAAUUAUCUAGAGAUUAAGAGACCUUAAUUGCCAGGGAUAUUGUUUAAUUAAGCAAAUUUAGUAAAUACAUAAAUUCUGAGGAUGCCGGAAAAAAUCCAAUUACUUAAGUUUCCCGAUAGCUCACAUGAUCGUAACCAUAUGAGCACGCCUAAUGUGUAGGAACAGAUUUCCGGAUUAAUCAUAUGAUCAUGCUUGUCCGGAUCGUAGCCAACCACGUCAACUUCCAUCCGGCCAAUCGGCAUCACACAAUAAUCCAUUAAUUGUGUUGCCAAGUAUCUCGUAAAAAAGUAGGAGAUACUUUUAGCCACAAUAUCAUCCAAGCCUCCAUCACCAAUAGUAUCAAAUGCGCAAGCACAGUAAUACAUUUCGAAAACAAAUAAAUGGAUACAAAGAAUCAUAUAUAACGAGCCAUAUAUGAAAGUGACAGCCCAGAUGGUGGAUCUUAAUUAGAAAGUGAAUCUCAACAAUGCCAUUACCAAUAUUUCUGUGAAUAUACAUUUCAAGGAGUUUGAGAGAAGAGUUUUUCGAAUGGAAAAUAUAAAAUACAGGUUAAUUUUGAGAAAAAUACAGUUUUAGAAGAUACUGGUAACUUGCAAGGGAUUUAAUUUGAUAUAAUGUAUUAAUAUAAAGUCUGAUAUAACGUCAGACAUUAUGGAUAAAGUUUUGAUGUAGACCAAUGAAGAAAUGUGUCGAAUUAAAUUCAUUAAUUGAUUUAAAGGGGAAUCCUUUAAUUCACCAACACUAUCUCAGAAAUUACACAUUAUCAAAAACCAUCCCAUAAUCCAAGGACUGUGACGGAUAAACAAGCGAAUAUUUAACAUGUGCUUAAUAGAAUAAUAUCCAGCACCACCAUCACAGAUUAUGAAUGUAAUCUGUAAAACAUAAUAAUAAAAAAAUAAUAAUUUAAACAUUUAAAAACAACAAAGACAAAAUUUGACUUAAAUAAACGGACUGAAGUCGUAUUCUUGAUUAAGUCCCCUUGGUGCUAAGGUAACAAGUUCUUUGAUCCAAUACGCUUCUCUAAAUAGUAAUCUUUUUUGUCUAUCCCCACGUCUGAAUCUUUCUUCAACAUGUACAAUGAUUUGUCUCAUGAGGGACGGCCGCCUCCAUUUAGUAGCCUGGACUCUUUCAGGGGAGCCUGGAAUGUCGAGGCAUUAUCAGAGUCGGCUAAGGACCUCCUGGGCCCCUGGAACUACUUGUCAGCUUGGAACUCCUGGUGUCGUUGGUGCCUGGAAUGGGUUAACGAUCACUUUAUGGGCCCUAUAACCAGUGUUCUGAACUUUCUGUCACAUCUGUUUGACCUGGGAUGCUCGUAUUGGUCGGUUAAUGUGGCAAGGUCGGCGUUUUCGGCGGCCCACUUAUCACUUCAAGGUUUUCCCAUUGGUCAGAACCCGCUGAUUUGCAGACUUCUCCGAGGCAUGAGACUUUCGCGGUCUCCAAUGCCUAAGUAUUCUUUCCUCUGGGAUGUACACAGGGUUUUGUCAUUUCUCCAGGAUUGGCCUGAUAAUCAGGAUCUUUCCCUCUGUCAGCUUUCGGCUAAGUUUCUCCUAUGCCUAAUUUCUUUCAGUCGAGUUUCCGACGUCCGAUUCGAUGGCUAUUUUAUACCCAUAUUUCCACGACUCACCUAAGCUCUGUGUGGCGACGACUCUGUCUCACUAUGUGGCGCGUACUUCUCCACUGUGUCCUUCUUGUUCUGGUCAAUUGUUGAUUUCUUAUGUCAGACCUCACAAACCGGUCUCUUCUCCUACCCUGGCACGAUGGAUUAAAUAGUUGUUGUCAUUGGCGGACACCUUCCGCCAAUUUUAUUUUAGACUGGCGGAUCAUGCUUCUUUUGCUUUGCUGUCUGAGCGUUAAAACAGCAACUAUGUAGCCUCCUGUAAUGCUAUAAAAUUGUAGAUUAUACUAGCUUUAGUGUAAAUAUAAUCUUAAUUUUAUUAAUGACAGGAGGUGAAUAUUUCCCCCCCCUAGUUUCACCCUACCCUUGUACUGUUAUCCAUUUAUUUUAUUUGACUACCUCUAGUUGAUAGUAUGUUCUCCAGGACUGUGAUUUAGAUAGUCAGUUGUUUUAUCUUUCUGAAGGAAGUCAGGGUUGGACUUUAUAAAUUUGGUACAGUCGGUAGUAGAUUAUGAAAAACAAAAAUAAAGUGCGCUGUGCCUUUAAGACCAUCAAACAAUACAAGUGAAUAACGUUCACAUAAAUAUUAAUUUCCAAAAUUGUAUAGAGUGCACUGUGCUUAAACACACUACAAAUCAAUUGAUGGGUGAUAUAAAUACCACAUACAUGUGCAAUAACAUAAAUAAUUUGUGCCAAUACAAAAGUGUUAAAGUUUACUGGUGACAAAACACAUAUGUGCAAAAUAAGGAUGAAAUUAUUUAGAAGGUUACCUCACUUUUAAAAGUUUUGAAAUUGCUUCUAUUAGAACUUCAAUGAAAUACUCAAAGAAAAACAGAACAAAAACUCAUAGGGCAAUAUGCAUAAAACAUAAAUAUUGAAAAUAUAGAUAAAAAACACUCACAAGAGUAGAGCAAUUAAGUCUGCUCUGAACUAUGUUGGCAUCUCAGUGUUUAGAGGCUUGAGGCUGUGAUGGCAGUAAAAAUCCUUUGACACUCCAAACAUUAAAAAGCAGUUGUUUGGCUAUAAGUCCUCUUUCUGUAACUCUUCCUCGCAAAUGUGAUAUAGUCCCAAACAAUUUCUUCAGUCCUUUUCAGGCUCCAGAAGCUCUGUGGGCUACUUCCACUCACACUUGUUCCGGGAGGCGGGGCUUACUGCGUUUCGCUGACAUGCUCGGCUUCAUCAGAUCCACCCACUAGUCCAUCACAGUCUCAAUAUAAAGCAUUUACACAGGGCGUGCUUACCCAAAAGAGUCCGAAAAUUCUGUUUUAUGAUUGGUUAUCUUGACCAUCAUAUUAACAUACAUUAUAGAUGCCAAACCCCCUUUAUUUAAAAACAAACUGAAACAAGGGCAUUAUUCACUAAAUGUUUAAAAAUUAUUAUUUAUCUACACGUACAUCUUAUCAUUACACCUCUUUGGACAUUAAUCCAGUUAAAUAAAAUAAUAUAAUAUAAAUUACAAUACAUGAAAACAUUUACUUUUGCUUGUUUGUGUGAUUGGAACAUAAAUAGUAAAGAACAGCUGGUGACCAAUAAGGUAAACCAGCCAAAUGUGUGUCCAGGGCAUCCUGAACUGGGGGGUAACCCUCACAUGUGUAUUUAUAAAAAAGGAAAAGAAAAGUAAGACCAGGGGAAAAAGGAAAAAGGAGGGAGAAAAGACACACACCCUCUUCCUUGACCCACAGGGUCAACCCAAUAGGAAACCCCUACCUAGAAAUAAUGCUGAAAUUUAACCUUUAAUAAGGAAAAAUUUAAAAUGUCAUACAUACAAAAUAUAUACAAAAAAUGAAGAAUAAAAUGGAGAGAGAGGGAACAAAUAGAAAUAGCCCAGGAUAGAGGGUGUACUGUGUCCACUAGAAUCACCUAAUGGUAAUAAUCACCUUGUUGAAACAGCAGUGUAUAGCACCCUUGCCUAGGUUUAUAAGCAAGGGGCUAAGGUAAGAAGUGGGGUAAAGAUAGGGAGAAAUGUAUAUAAUGGACAAAACCCCUAUAGAAAGCCUCCAGUUGCAAACAUAAACCAGACUAUAAAUCUCUGCCACAAUAGAGACAGAGCUCCUUAUCCAGAAUGACACAAAAUGUCAAUAACUGAAAGCACUAUUAAUUGCUAUAAGUUAUUCUCAAAUAGAUACAAGGUGAUAUCGCAUUGUACAAUAUCUACUAGCAAAAGGAGAUAAAAAUAAUUAUGUAUCCCUUUCUUAGGAUGCCCCAGAAUAAACAGAGCUGACUAAUAAACUCUGGAGCUCCUAAUAAAUAAUAUGUCACAGUCUAGCUCUAUCUACAUACGUGAGUAUAUACAAAGUGCGACCACCACCCACCACUUAACAAGCAACCCCCGAAAUGAAACUACUAGCUAAAUAGCUACUGAAAAACAAUUAGCUAAGUGUUCCCUCUCUACAUCUGCCUAACGCGCGUUUCGGCGCUGUUCAUAGCACCUUCCUCAGAGGCAUCAACCGUGGUCCACCAUGGGUCGGUAUAUUUAUACAUAGAACAAACCAAUGAAAUUAGCGGGCGUGUAGAAUCCUGUUCGCGCCAAAAUCGGCAUUCGAACAGGUCCCGCCCACCAAUAUGCGUGUCACUGAAAGAUGGAUAAAUCAUAUAGAAAGAGUUAACCCUUUAUGUAUAGUGUUCUAAAUUACUGAUACAAAAAAAUCCAAACUGUUUCUUUUCUUUCCCAAUAUAGUACAAUAUAAAUUAAUUACUCAGUACCCAGUAUCAAAAACAAAAUAGGGGAACUAAAAAAAGGGAAAGAUACGUUUUUGUAAUAGAUUAUACAACACAUAUUUAUUAAUGUCCACCAAUAUAAAGCAAAUUAUUUGCAAGCAUUCAAUCAAUGAUGAUUAUGCCCCCACUGACGGCAGGUAUGGCAGUGGAUAUUUGCCCUGCCAUUGUAGCGAGAAGGUGGUGGGGGUUCCCUUGUGCUGGCCUGAACGGAGUGGGGUUGACUGGUGCGGAGGUGGUCGGGUGGUGCUGUGCAGGUGGUCUCAGGUGGCUCUUGUUGCUGGACCCAUGAUGUCUCCUGGCAUCGAAGUGUUGGUCUGCCAACCGGGCUGCUUCGGUUAGGGUGAGGGGUUUUCGAUUCCUCACCCAUUCUUGUGCUUCCGGUAGUAGUCCAUUAAAGAACUGCUCGAGUAGUAUUAGUUGGCGCAGUUCCUCCAGGGUGGUGGCUUGGCUUGACUGAAUCCACCCUUGGGAGGCUUGGUCCAACUUGUGCACCCACUCAGCGUGCAAAUCUUUUUGGGGUUUUCGCAAUCCCCGAAACUUGCGCCGAUAUGCCUCAGGCGUGAUGGCAUACCUCUCUAGGAUAGCCCUUUUAACUUUAAAAUAGUCUUUGCUGUCCUCUCUGGGGACAGCGCGAUAAGCCUCUGCUGCCCGCCCUGCCAACUUUUCUGCGAGCAGGGGCACCCAUACUGCCUGCUCCAGGUCGUGCAGGUCACAUAGCCGCUCGAAAUCCUGCAGAUAUCCGUCAAUUUCAUCCUUCUCCUCGCAGAAUGCUUUAAAUGCAUGGUACGGUAUCUUUGGCUUUACCGGACCGCAGAAGGAAGUAGUGAUGGAUUCUGCCCUGGACGGUGCUCCCUGGUGAUGUUGUGCCAUCAUGUAUUCCUGUACGUCCGCCAUCAGGACCGUCAGUAUCCAGGGGUACUGGCUGUGGUAAAAAUUCCAGCCGGGUUCUCAGUUCCUUUUGGUACGGAGUUUCCUCCCUGGUUGGUGGAGGUGUGCUGCUGUGCGCUCGGUUGCCCUCCGUCAGUUCAGCAAUCAGCACGGCAUUAGAUUUAUUGCUAGCGCUCUUUCCUGUCGCUUCCAGCAGUUCCUUAAGUGUCUGCCUUUUCAAUGUGGUGUAGUCAGUCUCCAUUCACUGAUCUCUUUCGUCAGUUUGCUGCAUGCGAAUUGCCAUUCCCUUAGUUUGGCUGUUUCUUUUCAUUUGAAUGUGCUUUUCGGCUGUAGAGUUGGAUCCCGUCGCUUGACACCAAUUGUAGCGGAGCGGCAAUAUUAAAUCCCACGAUCUCUGCUGGUUCAGAAGGUAAUCCACAGUCAAGCGCUGAAAAGCAAGGCAAUAUCCCAAAUCUCCCAGUAACCGGACGAAACACAGUUCUGAGAGUCAACUGAAGGCUUUAUUCACAGGCUCCACAAUUUAUACAAUUCCCCAUGCAAGGGGUUUCCUGAAUCCUAUCCCAGGGGUAUUCCCAGAAUGGACUACGUGGGGAACUUACAUUACAGAGCCUUUCCCCCCAUCAGGUACUGCUGCACGAGAAGGAUCCUCCCACUGGAAUGUGCCGUUAAGCUGAUUAUCCCUCCGUGCAGCAGAACCGGCAAUUUACUUUAAAAUACACCGUUUUUCGAAUGUUAGGUCUAUUUCCAUGAAUGGACGUUCGGUAGAUAGCUGGGGCCUGAGCGUAUCAUUCGUGAGAUUACCGCUCAGAUCCCAGCUAAAUCAACCGAACGCCUCACGAAAAACAUAUUCAUUAAAACACACACUUAAAAGACCGAUUGAUGUAUAGGGAAUAAAAUACCGAACGGCCCGGAACUCCCGAACGGCCUGGAAGUCCAGCGGUGUUCGAGCCGUCGAGUAGCUGUUUUUAGUACCACGCGCUCGACGACCAAACACCACUGGGGAACAAAGGAUCCUAGAUGGCCGACCACCGCAUGGUUGGUAGCCAAACGACGGCCACCUUGGAGAGCCUCUAACAAUGUUGCAAUCGGUUAACAAGCGCCACACAUCUCUCAAUGUGUGGGCUGUUACAGGGUGGUUAUUUCGGUUCACGAACGGCCCGCAAAAGGUGCCGUUCGUGAAACGAAAGGGAAUCAGCUAUCUGCUUUCGGCAGAUAGCCAAUGCAGGCAAUACAAAGCUACACAAUCGUAUUACAUUAUAUCCAGAAACACACAUAACACGAAAAUCAUACAGACAACCCUUAAAGCGAUAGUACUUAAUGUCCAAGUAGCUAGAUUUGCCACAUCUCCCAAGCGGUUAAUAAUCCCAUCCAGCAGUCUCUAGUCGUCGGUAAUAAAUCCCCCCAAUAAUGAGACCAAGCUCCGCAUUGAAGGUAAAACAAGAACUGGCUUUACUGUGGGCUACCUGCCCGUAUUUAUGCAGGUCUCCCACUUGGUGGACACUCCCCUAGGGGACCAAAUGGGAGACUGUAACAAUAGACAGACAUAUGGCAGGUUAGGACCCACAGACACAGAAUAUUCCCAGCAUGCAUUAGUAUUUCCUCCCCUCUGCCCUGGAGAUAAUUGAGAAGUAAUUUAAUUAUCUCCAGGACAGAGGCAAAUCAUCAUUUUAAAUUGAACAUAGCAAAACAUAUAAAAAUACCUAACUUUACAAUUGUCGAAUUUUACCCAUUCGUAUCACAUAUCCCCAGAUAGCCUGGAUCUGAGUGCAUAUUAUUGGCGAAUAGCGCUCAGAUCCCAUAUGCAUAGUUCAAUCGCCAUGGAGUCAAAGUCUAUUACAGUCUUUCGGUAUGCGCCUGACUCCAUGGGAAGACUAUCUGGGGUAAGUCCAUUCGUGCAUUUAAACCUCCCGAACGGCCGGUGUUCGCAUACUACUGUCGAUUGAGAAGGGAGGUCGGCGGCUUCAGCGGUGUUCGGCAGAAAAAGUGUCCAUUUUCAGUUCCAUUAAAUCAAUGCCGAACACCGCUGGUCUUUCGCAUGGUUUAAGAUGGCCGCCGCCUUGUGGUCGACAUACAAACGACGACCACCCUGUAUUCGGUUUUAAUUGAGAAGUGUCUGUGGUUAACCGCAACGUUCUAAUUGGGAUCAAGAGGUUAACCAGCAGCACACUUCUCUUCUGGGUGGCCGUCCGUUCGGUAGUUUUGUUCGGCGGAAAAGUCAAUUCACGGAACAGGGGCAUACGAACGGGUAAUUUCACGAAAAGGCAAAACAGACAAAUCCAGCAAUCUCAGUCUAUACAGAUGGAUCUGUCACAGUGCCAUUUUUACUUGUUUUGUGUUAUCUUUUGAAUUGUUUAGGUAGUUGAUUAUGGAUUUUCAUAUUUUCACAGUACAUUUUAUUCAUUAACCGGAGUUUUCAACUCUGUUUGUCUCGUUUCAGUUUAAUGGUUCGUCUAAAGAUCCACAUUCAAGACCUUCUUCUGGAUAAAGUUUAAUGGCUUAUCGACUGAUCCAUGUUUGGUUUCUGGUCCAGGAUGAAUGUUAUCAACUGUUUCGUUUGCAUCCUUCUGCUACUACUAUGUGGAUAUGUUUAUUUCUGUUCUUUUUUGUCACAGCUUGAGGAAGUAGUUUAUUGGGAGGGGACUUUUAUGAUUCCUUACUUUUUUCUGAUUGGUUGUUUCUCUAUGUUAAUGUGCUGCUGUG